AGUGAACGCUGGCGGUAGGCCUAACACAUGCAAGUCGAACGGCAGCACAGUAAGAGCUUGCUCUUACGGGUGGCGAGUGGCGGACGGGUGAGGAAUACAUCGGAAUCUACUUUUUCGUGGGGGAUAACGUAGGGAAACUUACGCUAAUACCGCAUACGACCUACGGGUGAAAGCAGGGGAUCUUCUGACCUUGCGCGAUUGAAUGAGCCGAUGUCGGAUUAGCUAGUUGGCGGGGUAAAGGCCCACCAAGGCGACGAUCCGUAGCUGGUCUGAGAGGAUGAUCAGCCACACUGGAACUGAGACACGGUCCAGACUCCUACGGGAGGCAGCAGUGGGGAAUAUUGGACAAUGGGCGCAAGCCUGAUCCAGCCAUACCGCGUGGGUGAAGAAGGCCUUCGGGUUGUAAAGCCCUUUUGUUGGGAAAGAAAAGCAGCAGGUUAAUACCCCGCUGUCAUGACGGUACCCAAAGAAUAAGCACCGGCUAACUUCGUG
rnacentral:rRNA from 1 species